UACGUAGGGGGCAAGCGUUGUCCGGAUUUAUUGGGCGUAAAGAGCGUGUAGGCGGCCUGGUAGGUCAGCUGUGAAAACUCGAGGCUCAACCUCGAGACGCCGGUUGAAACCAUCAGGCUAGAGUCCGGAAGAGGAGAGUGGAAUUCCCGGUGUAGCGGUGAAAUGCGCAGAUAUCGGGAAGAACACCCGUGGCUAAGGCGGCUCUCUAGUACGGUACUGACGCUGAGACGCGAAAGCAUGGGGAGCGAACAGG
rnacentral:rRNA from 1 species